AGUCGAGCGGACAGAUGGGAGCUUGCUCCCUGAUGUUAGCGGCGGACGGGUGAGUAACACGUGGGUAACCUGCCUGUAAGACUGGGAUAACUCCGGGAAACCGGGGCUAAUACCGGAUGGUUGUUUGAACCGCAUGGUUCAAACAUAAAAGGUGGCUUCGGCUACCACUUACAGAUGGACCCGCGGCGCAUUAGCUAGUUGGUGAGGUAACGGCUCACCAAGGCGACGAUGCGUAGCCGACCUGAGAGGGUGAUCGGCCACACUGGGACUGAGACACGGCCCAGACUCCUACGGGAGGCAGCAGUAGGGAAUCUUCCGCAAUGGACGAAAGUCUGACGGAGCAACGCCGCGUGAGUGAUGAAGGUUUUCGGAUCGUAAAGCUCUGUUGUUAGGGAAGAACAAGUACCGUUCGAAUAGGGCGGUACCUUGACGGUACCUAACCAGAAAGCCACGGCUAACUACGUGCCAGCAGCCGCGGUAAUACGUAGGUGGCAAGCGUUGUCCGGAAUUAUUGGGCGUAAAGGGCUCGCAGGCGGUUUCUUAAGUCUGAUGUGAAAGCCCCCGGCUCAACCGGGGAGGGUCAUUGGAAACUGGGGAACUUGAGUGCAGAAGAGGAGAGUGGAAUUCCACGUGUAGCGGUGAAAUGCGUAGAGAUGUGGAGGAACACCAGUGGCGAAGGCGACUCUCUGGUCUGUAACUGACGCUGAGGAGCGAAAGCGUGGGGAGCGAACAGGAUUAGAUACCCUGGUAGUCCACGCCGUAAACGAUGAGUGCUAAGUGUUAGGGGGUUUCCGCCCCUUAGUGCUGCAGCUAACGCAUUAAGCACUCCGCCUGGGGAGUACGGUCGCAAGACUGAAACUCAAAGGAAUUGACGGGGGCCCGCACAAGCGGUGGAGCAUGUGGUUUAAUUCGAAGCAACGCGAAGAACCUUACCAGGUCUUGACAUCCUCUGACAAUCCUAGAGAUAGGACGUCCCCUUCGGGGGCAGAGUGACAGGUGGUGCAUGGUUGUCGUCAGCUCGUGUCGUGAGAUGUUGGGUUAAGUCCCGCAACGAGCGCAACCCUUGAUCUUAGUUGCCAGCAUUCAGUUGGGCACUCUAAGGUGACUGCCGGUGACAAACCGGAGGAAGGUGGGGAUGACGUCAAAUCAUCAUGCCCCUUAUGACCUGGGCUACACACGUGCUACAAUGGACAGAACAAAGGGCAGCGAAACCGCGAGGUUAAGCCAAUCCCACAAAUCUGUUCUCAGUUCGGAUCGCAGUCUGCAACUCGACUGCGUGAAGCUGGAAUCGCUAGUAAUCGCGGAUCAG
rnacentral:rRNA from 1 species